rnacentral:rRNA from 1 species
UACGUAGGGUGCAAGCGUUAAUCGGAAUUACUGGGCGUAAAGCGUGCGCAGGCGGUUGUGCAAGACAGAUGUGAAAUCCCCGGGCUUAACCUGGGAAUUGCAUUUGUGACUGCACGGCUAGAGUGUGUCAGAGGGGGGUAGAAUUCCACGUGUAGCAGUGAAAUGCGUAGAUAUGUGGAGGAAUACCGAUGGCGAAGGCCAGCCCCCUGGGAUAACACUGACGCUCAUGCACGAAAGCGUGGGGAGCAAACAGG